rnacentral:rRNA from 1 species
AUUGAACGCUGGCGGCAGGCCUAACACAUGCAAGUCGAACGAGUGGCGGACGGGUGAGUACUGUCUGGGAAACUGCCUGAUUGAGGGGGUUAACUACUGGAAACGGUAGCUAAUACCGCAUACCAUCAGCUGUGCCCAGAUGGGAUUGGCUGGUUGGUGGGGUAACGGCUCCCAGAGGAGACGAUCCCUAGCUGGUUUGAGAGGAUGACAAGCCAUAAUGGAACUGAUACACGGUCCAGACUCCUACGGGAGGCAGCAGUGGGGAAUAGUGCACAAUGGGCGCAAGCCUGCUGCAGCCAUGCCGCGUGUAUGAAGAAGGCCGUCGGGUUGUAAAGUACUUUCAGCGGUGAGGCGUUACCCGCAGAAGAAGCACCGGCUAACUCCGUGCCAGCAGCCGCGGUAAUAC